GAACUUGCCAUAUCUACGUUUUUCUACUUCGCGACACGAGUCCCCAUCUGAUUUGUCUCGCGCACGCGCUCUCUGCUUAAUUAAAAUUAAUUUCACGACGCGGCCCAAUUUGUUCUGCGCAUGUCUAAUGUUUUACGACACACGUCACUCAUCAGGUUUGAAUUGUACUUGCGAGUCAUUUUUGUGUUGACGUUUAUCUCCGUCUGUAAGUGGACUUCUCACUGGAAAGGAUGGCAACUUUUGAAUUUUAUAACGUUUUUGAAAAAUAUUUGUUGCCUGAAAAUGUUAACUCCAUUCGAAUGAAGAGGGAGUGAAAUGAAAUGCGACAUAUGUCUGUGAACUUUAUAAUGGAUACGUAUAGCAUUUUGAUGCCCGGUGGCAACCAGCCUUCCAAGUGGCUGAACAGAUGCCAGUGUACCCGAAUUCAGAGACACAAUUGGAUGUUCUUUUCUUCAGCUUUUAAUAUUUCCAAUUUGAGAUGAUGUGCUGUUCAUGUUAGAUUAGCUAUUUCUACAGUUACAGUGAAGUAGAAGAGUCUGGUCAUGUUAUGUGGCAGCAGUUAAACAAGAAGGAUGGAGAGAUGUGUGCCAUGUUGAAGUAGUGGGUGGCCCUCCUACCCGGCACUUCUAGAAUCCUCCAUCUCAAACUCUGCUCUGAUCUGCUGUGCCUUUGCCAAGUGAUCACGAGUUAAUUGCAGUGGUGCCCCCUGCGUCUCCACCGUCUGUUACAUCAACUCCAACUGCCUGUGAUGCCAGAGAGAAGAAAAGUUCACAAGACAACCUAAAAUGGAAUUCUGAUUGGAGCGAAAUGGCCACAAUUAUGUAUGCUGGGAUGUGCAGAGGAGGCUUGUGGGCUUUGGCUUGGGACCCCCAGAGGUUUAUUAUCUCCAGUAUCGUUGAAGGCUGCAAGUUUGUCUUUGUCCCCGGCCAUUUGACCAGGCAGUGUAUUUAUUACAAAGGACAAGGACUCCUCCAUUUGCUUCUUAUUUACUUUUAUAAUGCCUUCAAUUUUCUUUGUAACUGUAUAUUUUUCUAGAGCAAUUUGAGCAACACUUGUAAGCAAAGGUGAUAUAGAAUAAAUGUUAAGGGACAGAUCAAGAAAAAUAUCAGUUUAAAUAGAACACAUUUUUAUGGAAUAUUGGCUGGAUUACAACUCUUUGACUCUGAGUAGUAUCUUGUUCAUAAAGCUAAAAUAGCAUUUUUCCUUUUUUGACAAAUUUAAUGAUUCACUUUUACUGCGUUCAAAACCUUGGCUAACAUUUUUUUAAAUGCUAAGUUAAAAAUCUGUAAAUAUAUUUGUGUUCUCCUUCCCUAAUAAUUUUUAACACCUCCCCUUGUUGGCCAUUUUCAUUGUAGUUGUGUUCUAGUUAAAUGCAUUUACCAUUUAUACAUCUUUAUGAUAGCUGAAUUUUUUAGUUAUAAUAUUUAUACAGUAUAUAUACAUAUAAAUAUCGGUGUGUGUAUAAUUUUUUUUUGAGAAACAUUGUUCACACAUCUUUCACUUUUAUUUUUAAACAUACCAUUUAUUUAUUCAAUAAAAAAAUGUAUGAAUAAGUGUAUUGUAUUUCCUUUUUUAAAGUUAUAAAAAUGAACAGGUCCUGUAUCAAUAUGGGUGAAUAAAACCAUUAACAUGAGACGAGUCUGCACACAAACAGUGGUGUGUUAUGUUGAUUAAACUUGUAAGAAAGAAUAUCACUGCACUCUGUCCACAUGGUGUUCAUCAUAAACUGAACUAUUUCAUGCUGUUUAAAUUCUGCUCAGUUAGUGGAGAAUAUUUUAUUUUACAGCUGUUAAAUUCAGUUCAGUUUUAUUAUAGUAAGAGGUAAGUUGGUUUCUCAGUGGGUUUUACAGAGACUCCUUGAAAUAACAUUAAAAACACAUCACUAAGAACAAACGUAUUACAAAUAUGAACUAUAGCAGCAAGCACUUACUGUAAAAAAAAAUAGAUCAAAUAGAUUGAUUCAAGUGAUAACAGCUCACUUCCUUAAUUUAAGUCUGUGGAUAUAAAGUUAAACAUCUUUGUAAGAUUAAUAGCAAUUGGAAUAAAUGAGGAUUUGAACCAG